rnacentral:sRNA from 1 species
AAAGAGUUAGCAAUCCAUCAUGAAAAUACUAAUGUGUUAAGCUCAGUUUGUUGCAGUGAUACGUCAUCAAUUUAACGUUUUGUUUUUAAGAAAGUAAUUCCAUCUCUUUUGUGCAAUGACUUUUAUCAUUUUUACCCAGGAAACAUAUAUUAGUAAACUGAAAGUUAUUUACGUACGAGAAACCAUUAUUGGCAUAUUACACUGUUUUAAGUGAGUCACCAUCAAGCCCUAAAGGGUACGUAUUUUUAGAUCAACAAAUGUGAUUUAAAAUUUAGAAUUAUUGAAUUCAUAUUUGAUGUUUUCAAAUGAACACAUGGUUUAUGAAUGGUCUCUAUAUAUAGAGAGAAUAUCUACAGUACGUCCCGUUUUGUAAUUUUAACAGUACAUAGUUCUGAGUUAUACAUGUACAUUUAUCAUUGUUAUGUACAUGUAGUUUAAAUUUUGUGAAUGUCGUUUGUGAAUUCAUGAAACUGAAUUGAAUAGAAUCAGUUUAGUGCGAAUAAUGUUGGUAUUACGUUUUUGAUCUGCAAUGAGACUUUAGACGUUUUUAGUAUAAAUGUAUAUGUAUAUAUUUAUGUGUUCUGCUAAUUGCAAAAAAGUUUUGAAAAAUCAAUUCGUACUUAAUACUCGUGUUUAUCUCCUAAAAAGAGAGUUACAUUCUAAGGUGUUCAUAAAGCAAACAAAUAAGGUAAAUGUGUCAUUUUUUAAAAAAAAAUAUUGUGUGUUUUUUUCGAGCACUAUUUCAUUUAGGGUGGUGAUGAUCUAAGUAUGUUAUAUAGAGCGUAAAAAACAAAGCUUAUUUUAAGUGUUUUUUUAGUAUUGGUUGCAACAGGAAUUAAGUUGGUAUUAAGUUAAGGAAGAUCAUUAUAACUUCGAUAAUUUUAUGUACAAUUUUAAAAUAUCAGUUUUAUAACAUAUUCUCAUAUAUCUUCCUUUUAUUAAGUCAAUUAAAUGAUAAAUAUGACAAUUUUUUUAAAUUAUUUUCUGAAAUGUAGUGAACAAAUAGAUUUGAAACUUGUUCUGCUUCAAUAAAUUUGUAUGAGAG